rnacentral:rRNA from 1 species
AUGCAGUCGAGGGGUAUAGUUCCUCGGAGCUAGAGACCGGCGCACGGGUGCGUAACGCGUAUGCAAUCUACCUUUCACAGAGGGAUAGCCCAGAGAAAUUUGGAUUAAUACCUCAUAGUAUUAUGAAAUGGCAUCAUUUUAUAAUUAAAGUCACAACGGUGAAAGAUGAGCAUGCGUCUCAUUAGCUAGUUGGUAAGGUAACGGCUUACCAAGGCUACGAUGGGUAGGGGUCCUGAGAGGGAGAUCCCCCACACUGGUACUGAGACACGGACCAGACUCCUACGGGAGGCAGCAGUGAGGAAUAUUGGUCAAUGGGCGCAAGCCUGAACCAGCCAUGCCGCGUGCAGGAUGACGGUCCUAUGGAUUGUAAACUGCUUUUGCACAGGAAGAAACAACAUUACGUGUAAUGUCUUGACGGUACUGUGAGAAUAAGGAUCGGCUAACUCCGUGCCAGCAGCCGCGGUAAUACGGAGGACCCAAGCGUUAUCCGGAAUCAUUGGGUUUAAAGGGUCCGUAGGCGGUUUAGUAAGUCAGUGGUGAAAGCCCAUCGCUCAACGGUGGAACGGCCAUUGAUACUGCUAGACUUGAAUUAUUAGGAAGUAACUAGAAUAUGUAGUGUAGCGGUGAAAUGCUUAGAGAUUACAUGGAAUACCAAUUGCGAAGGCAGGUUACUACUAAUGGAUUGACGCUGAUGGACG